rnacentral:tRNA from 3 species
GCCCUCAUCGUCUAGCGGUCUAGGACACCGCCCUUUCAAGGCGGCGGCACGGGUUCGAAUCCCGUUGGGGGCA